rnacentral:rRNA from 1 species
UUGGAGGGCAAGUCUGGUGCCAGCAGCCGCGGUAAUUCCAGCUCCAAUAGCGUAUAUUAAAGUUGUUGCAGUUAAAAAGCUCGUAGUUGAAUUUCGGGAUCAAAUUGUCGGUCGUGCCUCGGUACGCACUGGUAUUAUUGGUUCCUACCUUCUGAAGAACCGCGAUGUCACUAAUUUGGUGUCGUGGGGAAUCAGGACUGUUACUUUGAAAAAAUUAGAGUGUUUAAAGCAGGCUUACGCUUGAAUACAUUAGCAUGGAAUAAUGAAAUAGGACGUUUGAUUCUAUUUUGUUGGUUUCUAGGAUUGACGUAAUGAUUAAUAGGGAUAGUUGGGGGCAUUAGUAUUCAAUUGUCAGAGGUGAAAUUCUUGGAUUUAUUGAAGACUAACUACUGCGAAAGCAUUUGCCAAGGAUGUUUUCAUCAAUCAAGAACGAAAGUUAGGGGAUCGAAGACGAUCAGAUACCGUCGUAGUCUUAACCAUAAACUAUGCCGACUAGGGAUCGGAUGAUGUUAAUUUUUUAAUGACUCAUUCGGCGCCUUACGGGAAACCAAAGUGUUUGGGUUC